rnacentral:lncRNA from 1 species
CCUGUGAGUCUCCUAACUGCUGGGCACUUGGGUAAAAAUAAACUCUCUGGGCCUCUCGGUGACUGAAAUAAGUCUCAUCUCUGAGUAAUCUUCUCCAUCCUCUAAGCCUCCCACCGCUGCACACUGUAGCCAGCUCUAUCUUCGAGACUACCAUAGAGAAGCAGUGGGCUUGGGAGCAGCUCACUAAACUAGGAAAUGAACACCUGUGUGCAGAGAACUUAUUUCUUGCUGUACUUAUGGAUUGUGAAUCUUCAGGUUCUGACUCUAAAAUAUUUCUGAAGGACCAGAUCUUCAAGUGGUCACUGCAGGUUCCCCCUGAAGCAGACCAUUCUUCUCAGUCACCUCUGACUUCACACUGCAUUCCCAGCCCAGCCUCGUGCCCUCUAGAUCAUCGUGGGUGCUCUAGCUAGCCGUGUCAGCAACCAGAACCAUCAGAAAUUCCACUGAUCCAGUCU